rnacentral:rRNA from 1 species
AAUCUAUUUAACUAUGGUAGUAGAAAGUUUCUAAUAAAUUAAUUGCAUAAAUUAUUUUUAUUUUCUAAUUCUCAAAAUAUUUGGGAGUUAAUAUUAGCAGUUAGCUUUUUAUUAAAACGACAGUUUUUUAAGAAUUUAUUAGAAGAAGGGGAUAGGACACAGUGCCAGCAUCCGCGGUUAAUCUGUUUUCUUUGCUUUCUUAUAGAGUUUAUUUAAAUAUUAACACGUAAGGUUAGGUGAAAUUUUCUUACUUUUAUAUUAAAUAUUUAUUUAAAAAUAUACAAAUUUAAUGACAGGGAUUAGAUACCCCAUUAAUAUAUGUAGUAUUAAUAUCUUAGUUUUAUAACUAAAAUAGUUUGGCAGCGAGUAAAUCCUAUUGGGGGAAGGUGUAGAGUAAAGGACGAUCCGCCUAUUAUUUUACUUUUCUUAUGUUGGUGUAUAUCUGGUUAUAUAUUAUUGUUUAGUGACUAAUUGUGUAAUUAUUAUUAAGCCAAGUCUAUGUGCUGCUUAGAGAAGAUUCUUAUGCGUUACAUUAAUAAUAAAAUUGUUGAGAUACAAUUUGAUACAGGACUCAAAAGUAAUAUAUGAUAAUUUUGCAUAUGUGAAAAAGGUUUAACUCG